rnacentral:lncRNA from 8 species
GUUAUGGUGCUGGAGCUGGUGUGUCCAAUGGACAAGGAGCUAAUGGUUAUGGAAAUGGAUCACCUCAACCUCAAAAUACUAAAGGUGUCGGAGCACGCGCACCCAUUGGAGGAACUAAAGCGUCAAAUGGAGGAGCUAAAGCACCAAAUGGUGGUAAGCAUUCACUAUUAAAAACUGAGAUUGUGUAAAUGUUAAGAACUGCGCACUGUAUGUUUGAACAUUUGUAUUAUUUAAAAUAAAACAUUUGCUCACUCUAUCCGAUGUUUGUCAUUUUCCAAUGUUUUGUCAAUUGCCACUUUGAUCUUGUUGGUUAUUAUGUUGGUCAUAAGCAAUGUAUAUUGUAAUGCGCACUGGAUUUGUGAGUCAGUAUUUUUAACUCUUGUGGUUCCUAGGGUAUGGUGUUCCUGCUGGUGUACCCAAUGGACAUUUGGCUGAAGUAGUCAAUACUGGUUAUGGCAUGCCAAAUGGAUACAGCAUGUCAAAUGGUCAGGGUACUAAAGGUGUUGGUGCACCGAAUGGAAAGGGCCCCAAAGGUGAAGCUCUUACUCCUGAAGCACUAAGCCUUGCACCAGCACCCGAGCCAGGACUUGUAGUACCUGAGCCAACAAAGGGUGUAGCUCUAAUCGUUCCACAAGGGAAGACAUACCCUAAGCCAGCACCAGUUCCACAAGGGAAGCUUUUCCCUAAGCCAGUACCUAUAGUACCACAGACAAAGAGUCCAAAGACAGUACCAGAGCCAGCAAUGGUUCCACAAGGGAAGACAUACUCUAAGCCCGCACUAGAGCCAGCAAUGGUUCCACAAGAGAAGACAUAUGCUAAGCCAGCACCAAAGCUAGCACCUGUCAUUCCACAAGGAAAGCCGUGCCCUAACAAAGCACGGGAGGCAGCACCAGUUCCACAUGGGAAGACAUACCAAAAGCCAGCCCCAAAGCCAGCAGCUGUAGUACCACAGGCAAAGAGUCCGAAGACGGCACCAGUUCCACAAGGGAAGCCGUACCCAGAGCCAGCACCUGUCGUUUCACAAUGGAAGCCGUACCUUAUGCCAGCACCUGUGGUUCCACAAGGAAAGAUGUACCCUAAACUAGCACCAGUGCCAGCAUCACAGGCAAAAAGUCCAAAGCCAGUGGCAUCAGCCGUGCCUCAAGGAAAGCAUCCCAAAGUACCAAACAUGGGUUACGGAGGAGGAACUGGUGUAAACGGAGGUGGUGCCCCCAAUGGCUAUGGCGCGAAACCCAAUGGUUACGGUGUCGGAGCCAGUGCACCAAACGGACGUGGAGCAAACCCCAAUGGUAAAUCUACUCUGUCUUGUGUGCUUUUAAGCCUAAACAAAACGUUUGUCAUUUCAUGGUGGUAUCAGGUUUUCCAGUGCAAUUAG